rnacentral:rRNA from 1 species
AUUGAAAGCUGGCGGCAUGCUUUACACAUGCAAGUCGAACGGCAGCACGGGGGCAACCCUGGUGGCGAGUGGCGAACGGGUGAGUAAUGCAUCGGAACGUGCCCUGUCGUGGGGGAGAACACAUCGAAAGAUGUGCUAAUACCGCAUACGACCUGAGGGUGAAAGCGGGGGACCGCAAGGCCUCGCGCGAUAGGAGCGGCCGAUGUCGGAUUAGCUAGUUGGUGGGGUAAAGGGCUACCAAGGCUACGAUCAGUAGCUGGUCUGAGAGGACGAGCAGCCACACUGGGACUGAGACACGGCCCAGACUCCUACGGGAGGCAGCAGUGGGGAAUUUUGGACAAUGGGGGCAACCCUGAUCCAGCCAUGCCGCGUGCGGGAAGAAGGCCUUCGGGUUGUAAACCGCUUUUGGCAGGAACGAAACGGUGCGGGCGAAUACCCUGUGCUAAUGACGGUACCUGCAGAAUAAGCACCGGCUAACUACGUGCCAGCCGCCGCCGUAAAAC